AUAGGUUGAGGAUCCUGACUUUGAUUACCUGAUUGUUAGCAGCUGGUCAGACAGGCAGACAGGCAGGGGUAUGGUCUACCCUCAGUUACUCACAGAGUAGCAGUUGGUACUUUUGGGACUGCUGUGCUUUACUGCUACUGCAAGCUUGCCUUGACCUCCAGCCUGAUGAUCAUACAUUUGUUUCAUUCCCAAUAGCAACAUAAAGCACGGUGGACUAUGUUGCAGCUAAGCCUAUGUGCCUUUUGGGUGCCACUGCUGAUUACUUGGCUUCCCCUUGCAUUCCAGAUAAACUGUCAUCUGGAUACUGAAGUAUGUGCCACAAGAGUGGAUGCAGAUUUGAAGAGUAUGAAAAUGUUUCUUGUGUCAGAAGGCAUGAACAAUAAGCUUUCUGAUGAUUUCAGUAAGAUUUAAGGUAAGAAAAUGUAGAUUAACACUUUAACACAUGGUUAUUUUUUUGCCAUUUAUGAAAACAUCAAUUCAAAAAUGUGCCCGUUGCUAAAAGCUUGAUAGC